rnacentral:rRNA from 1 species
AUUGAACGCUGGCGGCAUGCUUUACACAUGCAAGUCGAACGGCAGCGGGGUAGUGCUUGCACUACUGCCGGCGAGUGGCGAACGGGUGAGUAAUAUAUCGGAACGUACCGAGUAAUGGGGGAUAACCAAUCGAAAGAUUGGCUAAUACCGCAUACGUCCUGAGGGAGAAAGCGGGGGAUCGCAAGACCUCGCGUUAUUCGAGCGGCCGAUAACUGAUUAGCUAGUUGGUGGGGUAAAGGCCUACCAAGGCGACGAUCAGUAGCGGGUCUGAGAGGACGAUCCGCCACACUGGGACUGAGACACGGCCCAGACUCCUACGGGAGGCAGCAGUGGGGAAUUUUGGACAAUGGGGGCAACCCUGAUCCAGCCAUGCCGCGUGUAUGGAGAAGGCCUUCGGGUUGUAAAGUACUUUUGUUAGGGAAGAAAAGGGAAGUGCUAAUACCACUUUUUGCUGACGGUACCUAAAGAAUAAGCACCGGCUAACUACGUG